rnacentral:rRNA from 1 species
ACGCCCGGCCCCAUUCCGAACCCGGAAGCUAAGCCCUCCAGCGCCAAUGGUACUGCACCCUAAUCAGUGUGGGAGAGUAGGACACCGCCGAAC